rnacentral:rRNA from 1 species
AACGGAGAGUUUGAUCCUGGCUCAGGAUGAACGCUGGCGGCGUGCUUAACACAUGCAAGUCGAACGGACCUUCGGGUUAGUGGCGGACGGGUGAGUAACGCGUGGGAAUCUGCCCUCAGGAGGGGGACAACAGCUGGAAACGGCUGCUAAUACCCCAUAUGCCGAGAGGUGAAAUGAAAUUCGCCUGAGGAUGAGCCCGCGUCUGAUUAGCUAGUUGGUGUGGUAAAGGCUCACCAAGGCAUCGAUCAGUAGCUGGUCUGAGAGGAUGAUCAGCCACACUGGGACUGAGACACGGCCCAGACUCCUACGGGAGGCAGCAGUGGGGAAUUUUCCGCAAUGGGCGCAAGCCUGACGGAGCAACGCCGCGUGAGGGACGAAGGCCUCUGGGCUGUAAACCUCUUUUCUCAAGGAAGAAGACAUGACGGUACUUGAGGAAUAAGCCACGGCUAAUUCCGUGCCAGCAGCCGCGGUAAUACGGGAGUGGCAAGCGUUAUCCGGAAUUAUUGGGCGUAAAGCGUCCGCAGGCGGCCCAGAAAGUCUGUUGUUAAAAAGUGGAGCUCAACUCCAUCCAGGCAAUGGAAACUACUGGGCUAGAGUGUGGUAGGGGCAGAGGGAAUUCCCGGUGUAGCGGUGAAAUGCGUAGAUAUCGGGAAGAACACCAGUGGCGAAGGCGCUCUGCUGGGCCAUAACUGACGCUCAUGGACGAAAGCCAGGGGAGCGAAAGGGAUUAGAUACCCCUGUAGUCCUGGCCGUAAACGAUGAACACUAGGUGUCGGGGGAAUCGACCCCCUCGGUGUCGUAGCCAACGCGUUAAGUGUUCCGCCUGGGGAGUACGCACGCAAGUGUGAAACUCAAAGGAAUUGACGGGGGCCCGCACAAGCGGUGGAGUAUGUGGUUUAAUUCGAUGCAACGCGAAGAACCUUACCAGGGCUUGACAUCCUGCGAACCCCUGAGAGAUCGGGGGGUGCCUUCGGGAACGCAGUGACAGGUGGUGCAUGGCUGUCGUCAGCUCGUGUCGUGAGAUGUUGGGUUAAGUCCCGCAACGAGCGCAACCCACGUCUUUAGUUGCCAGCAUUCAGUUGGGCACUCUAGAGAGACCGCCGGUGAUAAACCGGAGGAAGGUGUGGAUGACGUCAAGUCAUCAUGCCCCUUACGUCCUGGGCUACACACGUACUACAAUGCUACGGACAAAGGGCAGCAAACUCGCGAGAGCUAGCAAAUCCCAUAAACCGUGGCUCAGUUCAGAUCGUAGGCUGCAACUCGCCUACGUGAAGGAGGAAUCGCUAGUAAUCGCAGGUCAGCAUACUGCGGUGAAUACGUUCCCGGGCCUUGUACACACCGCCCGUCACACCAUGGAAGUUGGCCAUGCCCGAAGUCGUUACUCCAACCCGUAAGGGAGGAGGACGCCGAAGGUGGGGCUGAUGACUGGGGUGAAGUCGUAACAAGGUAGCCGUACCGGAAGGUGCGGCUGGAUCACCUCCUAA